GUUCAGCAUAAGUUACCACAACGAUUUAACCCGGUAACAAGUGAUCUGCCAUCAUGAUGCACAAAACCCUGGGUUGAACCUAAAGUUACCUCGUUAACGCCAAAUCUUGCUUCGUAGUACAGGCCUCAAAGUGGCCAAAAAACAAUAAUCAAGAGGUAAAUCAGUAAUGAAAAUAAUCACUAGUUGCAGCCCUAUUUCACCACUGAGAGUUAGCUGGUAAUGUAGCAUAAAAAGAAAAAGUACUCUUGCUAUGGUUUAUUAUACCUUGCGCACUGAUUUAUAUAUAAUGUUGGUUAAGGUGUUGACCAGAACUCUGUCUGAGAUGUCCUGUUAUGUGAUUAAUGGAUACCUGACAGCAAACCAGAAACAUGUAUCUUCGAAAUCCUUUCAACCCAUAUCCUUGUUUGGAUUGUUUCAAGUCAUUGUCUUUCUAACAUGUUUUCAAGUGGAGAAUCUAUUAAAUGAAAAUGUUGAUAUGAUUCCCAACAUUUGCAUGAUUUGGUACGCAGCAGUAGGAAACAGCUGGGCUGCUCCCACCCUGAAUAUUAUGUCCAAAUGGCCUCGAGGGAAAUGAGGCGAGUCAUGAGCACUUCCACACGCCUUAUUAUAAUACUGUAUUAAACUGUGUAAUUUGUAUGUAUUUGUGUGUGUUUGCAUAGUGACUUAUGGCCCCGUUUUGUGCAUGUUCAUAUGUCUUGUACAUAGAAUACUGUAAGUAUUUGACUGACACUGUGUGUAAUGUGGUAACCUUACAAUACAAACACCACUCUGUCUAACAGUAUCACUGUAACUGUAAUGUUGCUGUAACAUUUGUCGUUAACUAACCUACCUUUUCCACUCACACAAGUUUUUUUUGUAAGUGUCGUCAUUGCACUGGAUGCGUCCGAGAGAAAACAACCAGAAAGGAUAACGUCUGGGAAAAUGAAACAAAUAGAAAAAACUUUUUAAGGCGAGCAGGAUGGAGGCAGAGAAUGAGAAGAGGGAGGUCUUCUGCUUUUGUUUUUUGUUUCCCAGUGCCUUGGCUCUGUGCUCUGUGGUGAAAUACACUGCCGUUUGCUGACAUGCUGUUUCUCUAUUUUUUCAGUGUGGGCGCCUGUGUGUGUUUGUAUAUGGCAAAGCAAGAGGUCAAGAUAUUCUGCGUUGGAAAGUGAAAAGUGGUAGAAAGAUUACCAGAGCUGGGUAACAGAGGGAGAAGGCAAAGGAUUUUCAUAAAUGUUUUGAGUUCAUGAAGGAGAGAAAAAAUAUGUUUUUUUAAUAAACAUAUAAUAUGUUUUCUUUAUAAGUCUUGGGGCAGUAUAGUUGAGGUCAUACUGAUGUAUAGCCCGGAGGCUAACUGUAGGCUUUCACCACAUAAUGUAAUAUGAAGCUCAUCACUCUCGCUGGGUAUAAGCGUGAAGCUGAAGUCGGGCGAUAUCUUCGUUACCCAGCAGAGUCUGACCUUUGCUUUGGCUUUUAAUCAGAGGAGCUCUGAUACAUAACAGACUGCAAGUCUCAAGAGAGAGGGAGGGAGCCCAGAAACAACUAGACCAAAGUUUUAGCGUUGUUUCAGAAAUCACAUAGUUAACAUAGAUUUUAUUUACACAGGAAGUGAGUAGAAUGUAAUUCAAGGUCCACACACACACACACACACACACACACACACACACACACACCAGCGUAUACUGGAUCUCUGCAACCAAAAAAAGACAGAAAUGACCCUGUGAAUGGGAAGGCACAGACUGGGGGAGGGACAGACAAAGGGAGGAAGAGAGAAUACAAGAAAAAGUAAGAGGAUAGAGGGAGGGAGGGAAGGAGGGAGGAGGGAGAGAGGUCAUGUUUCCUCUGUUGAGCCCACUUCCUGUCCUGAUCCCAAAAUGGAGAGACUGUAUGAACGACAUCCCUCUGCCUGUUUCAGUCUCCACACACACACACACACACACACGCACGCACACACACACACACACACACACACACACACACACACACACACACACACACACACAGAAACCCAAACCAGCCUCCUGCGGUAUCCUACAAAGGAGAUGAGAGGAAAAAGCAGGGAGCAGAAAAAUAUAUCCCCAGUGGUCUCUGAAACAUAAGAAAGCCUUCGUUUAUAGAGGCAGAGAGACGCUGAACAUUUUGUCCUCAAGUUGCACCACACCAUAUGUGUUACGUGUGGCCUAUGUCUCUGUGUGUGUGUGUGUGUGUGUGUGUGUGUGUGUGUGUGUGUGUGUGUGUGUGUGUGUGUGUGUGUGUGUGUGUGUGUGUGUGUGUCUGAAAUAUGAGACCUGCUGUAUCGUCUCCAAUGUAUGUAUGAGUGGUUCCUCAACCAGACAGCGCACAGCUCAUCUAAAUAUUCAUGAGCAUACCAUAUUUGGAAGAAAAGCUGUCGUUCCAAAUAGAGCCAUUACACAGGGAUGCAUAAGGGCCAAAAAAAA